GGAAUUUUGGGCAAUGGGCGAAAGCCUGACCCAGCAACGCCGCGUGAGGGAUGAAGGCCCUCGGGUCGUAAACCUCUGUCGGGAGGGAAGAACGGUUUCCAGGCGAACAGGCUGGAAGCCUGACGGUACCUCCAACGGAAGCACCGGCUAACGCCGUGCCAGCCGCCGCGGUAAUACGGAGGGGGCUAGCGUUGUUCGGAAUUAUUGGGCGUAAAGCGCGUGUAGGCGGCUUGACAAGUCGGAUGUGAAAUCCCGGGGCUCAACCCCGGAACUGCAUUCGAUACUGUCUCGCUAGAGUCCCGGAGAGGAAGGCGGAAUUCCCGGUGUAGAGGUGAAAUUCGUAGAUAUCGGGAGGAACACCAGUGGCGAAGGCGGCCUUCUGGACGGUGACUGACGCUGAGACGCGAAAGCGUGGGGAGCAAAC
rnacentral:rRNA from 1 species